rnacentral:pre_miRNA from 7 species
UGUCCUGUUAUUGAGCACUGGUCUAUGGUUAGUUUUGCAGGUUUGCAUCCAGCUGUAUAAUAUUCUGCUGUGCAAAUCCAUGCAAAACUGACUGUGGUGGUGAAAAGUCUGUAGAGAAGUA